GAUGAACGCUGGCGGCGUGCCUAAUACAUGCAAGUCGAGCGAACAGACGAGGAGCUUGCUCCUCUGACGUUAGCGGCGGACGGGUGAGUAACACGUGGAUAACCUACCUAUAAGACUGGGAUAACUUCGGGAAACCGGAGCUAAUACCGGAUAAUAUAUUGAACCGCAUGGUUCAAUAGUGAAAGACGGUUUUGCUGUCACUUAUAGAUGGAUCCGCGCCGCAUUAGCUAGUUGGUAAGGUAACGGCUUACCAAGGCAACGAUGCGUAGCCGCCCUGAGAGGGUGAUCGGCCACACUGGAACUGAGACACGGUCCAGACUCCUACGGGAGGCAGCAGUAGGGAAUAUUCCGCAAUGGGCGAAAGCCUGCCGGAGCAACGCCGCGUGAGUGAUGAAGGUCUUCGGAUCGUAAAGCUCUGUUAUUAGGGAAGAACAAAUGUGUAAGUAACUAUGCACGUCUUGACGGUACCUAAUCAGAAAGCCACGGCUAACUACGUG
rnacentral:rRNA from 1 species